UUCAGCCGGAUGCGGAUAGAAUUAUCAAACAAAUUUCUGAUAAGAUCGAGAUGGUAGCUGAAAAAGUGGUUGACGAGAUUUUGAUUGUGCUUUAGGACUAUCAAGUGUUUCUGCCACGCCGAAUCUACUCCCUGUUGACCAGGAUAAACCAGAAACGUCUGGAGUGCACGUCGAUGAAAACGAGGACUAUGAAACCAAUUCAGAACACGAAGAAGAAAAUUCGCUAGAAGAUUCUGAUGACGAUUGAUAUGAGAUUUUGAUUUUUUUUUCAUGAAUGGAGAUAUAAAUUCCGGUUAAGAUGAGGAAGAAUACGGGCGUGCAGAUACAAAAUUCAAACGGAAGUAAUGUUACCAAACUGGAUGGAGGAAAUGUUUUAACGUUUUUAAUGAUGAACUGAAGAUGUUGUUUUGUUUUUUUUUAAACAAUUAGUUAAUUAGAGCUAAUAACGACCAUUCAUAUUAUUUUAUUUGGAUAUCGACGUUUGAUAAUUUGAUACAGAUAACAUGCACGAAUAAUCACAACAAUCAAUCAGAUUCAAAUGUAUGUAAAAGCGGAAUGUAAACAUAAUUAUUAACAUUGUAAGGAAUUACAACAAACUUGCACAUGAUGUCUUCUAUACUAUAAGCCUUCGACUGUUUCAAAUGAGAAAUCUGAGCUUCGUAAAUGUACAAAAACGACGAGCGAAUAGGUAGUUUGAAAAAAUCAGUUU